CCCUUAGAUGUCCUGGGCCGCACGCGCGCUACACUGAACGGAUCAGCGCGUUUUCCCUUCCCGAGAGGGACGGGUAACCUGCUGAACCCCGUUCGUGGUAGGGAUCGGGGCUUGCAAUUAUUCCCCGUGAACCAGGAAUGCCCAGUAAGUGCAAGUCAUAAGCUUGCGUUGAUUACGUCCCUGCCCUUUGUACACACCGCCCGUCGCUACUACCGAUUGAACGUUUUAGUGAGGUACUCGGACUGAGCCUCAGAAGAUUCACGUCUUUUGUGCUGCUCGGGAAGAUUCUCAAACUUGAGCGUUUAGAGGAAGUAAAAGUCGUAACA
rnacentral:rRNA from 1 species